AUUGAACGCUGGCGGCAGGCCUAACACAUGCAAGUCGAACGAGUGGCGGACGGGUGAGUAAUGUCUGGGCAACUGCCUGAUGGAGGGGGAUAACUACUGGAAACGGUUGCUAAUACCGCCUACCUUCAGCUGUGCCCAGAUGGGAUUAGCUUGUUGGUGGGGUAACGGCUGACCAAGGCGACGAUCCCUAGCUGGUCUGAGAGGAUGACCAGCCACACUGGAACUGAGACACGGUCCAGACUCCUACGGGAGGCAGCAGUGGGGAAUAUUGGACAAUGGGCGCAAGCCUGAUACAGCCAUGCCGCGUGUAUGAAGAAGGCCUUCGGGUUGUAAAGUACUUUCAGCGGGGAGGCGUUACCCGCAGAAGAAGCACCGGCUAACUCCGUGCCAGCAGCCGCGGUAAUAC
rnacentral:rRNA from 1 species